ACGGGUGAGUAACGCGUGAGCAACCUGCCUUUCAGAGGGGGACAACAGUUGGAAACGACUGCUAAUACCGCAUAACGUAUACUUAGGGCAUCCUUGGUAUACCAAAGAUUUAUCGCUGAAAGAUGGGCUCGCGUCUGAUUAGAUAGUUGCGGGUAACGGCCACCAAGUCGACGAUCAGUAGCCGGACUGAGAGGUUGAACGGCCACAUUGGGACUGAGAUACGGCCCAGACUCCUACGGGAGGCAGCAGUGGGGAAUAUUGGUCAAUGGGGGCAACCCUGAACCAGCAACGCCGCGUGAAGGAAGAAGGCUUUCGGGUUGUAAACUUCUUUUGCCGGGGACGAAACAAAUGACGGUACCCGGCGAAUAAGCCACGGCUAACUACGUGCC
rnacentral:rRNA from 1 species